CCUACGGGUGGCAGCAGUGGGGAAUAUUGCACAAUGGGGGAAACCCUGAUGCAGCGACGCCGCGUGAGCGAUGAAGUAUUUCGGUAUGUAAAGCUCUAUCAGCAGGGAAGAAAAUGACGGUACCUGACUAAGAAGCCCCGGCUAACUACGGGCCAGCAGCCGCGGUAAUACGUAGGGGGCAAGCGUUAUCCGGAUUUACUGGGUGUAAAGGGAGUGUAGAGGGCGGUGCAAGCCAGAUGUUAAAGCCUGGGGCUCAACCCCGGGACUGCAUUUGAAACUGGGCUGCUAGAGUGUCGGAGAGGCAGGAGGAAUUCCUAGUGUAGCGGUGAAAUGCGUAGAUAUUGGGAAGAACACCAGUGGCGAAGGCGGCCUGCUGGACGAUGACUGACGUUGAGGCUCGAAAGCGUGGGGAGCAAACAGGAUUAGAUACCCGGGUAGUC
rnacentral:rRNA from 1 species